rnacentral:tRNA from 1 species
GGAUGGCUGGUGUAAUUGGCAGCAUACGCAGAUAUGCGUGAUGUGGGUUCGAUCCCCACGCCAUUCACCC